rnacentral:rRNA from 1 species
UAGACAACGGAGGACCACCUCAGAGAUGAGGCUUUCCCUUCGGGGACUUCCGGUUCAGGUGCUGCAUGGCUGUCGUCAGCUCGUGUCGUGAGAUGUUGGUUAAGUCCCGCAACGAGCGCAACCCCUGCCUUUAGUUGCCAGCAUUUCAGUUGGGCACUCUAGAGGGACUGCCCGCGUCAAGCGGGAGGAAGGUGGGGACGACGUCAAGUCCUCAUGGCCCUUAUGUCCAGGGCUACACACGUGCUACAAUGGGCGGUACAAAGGGUCGCAAACCCGCAGGGGGAGCCAAUCCCAAAAAAGCCGUCCUCAGUUCGGAUUGGAGUCUGCAACUCGACUCCAUGAAGGUGGAAUCGCUAGUAAUCGCGGAUCAGCAUGCCGCGGUGAAUACGUUCUCGGGCCUUGUACACACCGCCCGUCACACCAUGGGAGUCAGUUGUACCGGAAGCCGGCGAUCGAACCCGCAAGGGGCGCAGCCGUCCAUGGUAUGGCUGGUGACUGGGGUGAAGUCGUAACAAGGUAAGCGUAGUGCU